rnacentral:tRNA from 1 species
UGUGACGUAGCUUAGAUGGCCAGAGCAGAUUUUGGAACGUGGGUUCAAUUCCCACCGUCACAA